GACGAACGCUGGCGGCGUGCUUAACACAUGCAAGUCGAACAGUGGCGAACGGGUGAGUAACACGUGAGUAACCUGCCCUCCACUUUGGGAUAACUCCGAGACAUCGGGGCUAAUACUGGAUAGUGGGGGAUGGGCUCGCGGCCUAUCAGUUUGUUGGUGAGGUAGUGGUCACCUAGGCGGGACGGGAAGCCGGCCUGGGAGGUCGACCGGCCACACUGGGACUGAGACAGGGCCCAGAGUGCUACGGGGGGCAGUAGUGGGGAAUAUUGCACAAUGGGCGAAAGUCUGAGGCAGAGACGCCGGGGGGGGGAUGUCGGCCCUCGGGUUGUAAACCUCUUUCAGCAAGGAAGCGGUACUUGCAGAAGAAGCGCCGGCUAACUACGUGCCAGCAGCCGCGGUAAUAC
rnacentral:rRNA from 1 species